rnacentral:rRNA from 1 species
UACGAAGGGGGCUAGCGUUGCUCGGAAUCACUGGGCGUAAAGCGCACGUAGGCGGACUCUUAAGUCGGUGGUGAAAUCCUGGAGCUCAACUCCAGAACUGCCUUCGAUACUGAGAGUCUCGAGUCCGGGAGAGGUGAGUGGAACUGCGAAGUGUAGAGGUGAAAUUCGUAGAUAUUCGCAAGAACACCAGUGGCGAAGGCGGCUCACUGGACCGG